UGGAAGAAGGUAAGUAGGUUUACGAGCUGCCUUGUCCUGCUGUUACUUGAAUCGAGGGAACUAUCUAGUGUGACCUGUAAGUAUACUGUCCUUCAGGAACUGGAGAAACUCGCUCAUGGCUCUUAGAUUGGUGUGAGAUGGAGUGCUGUAGAAAUCUCUGCAGGCCUCCAAGGUGGUAGUCUGCAUUUGCCAGUAUCUUGGACUGGUCUAGGCUGAUAUGAAGGCUGAAUUACACUCCCAGCUCUACCUAAUGCCAGAUAAAAAUGAAAUUAGUGGAUUUAAAUAUAUAUAUAUAUAUAUAUAUAUAUAUGCUAUUUGGAGCUAACUGGAAAUUCCUCUCUAGUUUCUGCUCUCCAAUGAAGAAUAUAAUGAACUAACAAUUCGGUGAGUUUUUUCUCAUCACUUCAGACUUGGGUAAUUGUUUUAACUGUACAUAUAACUCUGCUAGUCUGUUCUACAGUCAUUAAUGAGAGUUGUGUUGAAGUUGCAUUUAAUUGAUAGCACUCUAAUUUCAAUGAGAGUGCUUAAUUCAGGUUUCAGAUUUCUGUAUCAUUGGGAUUUGGCCAAACAAGUAACUUCAAACUUGGUUAAACCUAGCUCUGGAUCAGUUAAUAAUACGUACAAGUUGGUUUGCAUAUGAAACGGCUCUGUUGAGUUAUAAUUGUUUGCUUGGUGUAGGGAGUUCUGGCUAGCAGUUGUUCUGGAACCUCAGUAAGAAAGCUGAGUGACCACAAUUACUGGACUUAUAUCCAGUCCUUUCCCUUGUGGUUCACUUUUGUCAACAUGUACUGUUUUCUGUAUGGUCAGCCUUGUUUGAAAGGCAGCAUGUAUGUCAGGUGUGAAACCUGUCCAUCUUAGUAGUAGCAUCUCCCCAAGCUUGACACGUUUUAAAUCACUCUUCACUCACUGGUUAACAUGGUCCAAAACCAAGCAAAAUUGCUGUUAAGUUGUGCUAACUUUGGAAGAAUUGGAUGUCAGUGUUACAGAUAAAGACUAAUCCAGCUCUUUCAAAACAUGGAGACAAACCUUCAGGCAGGGAGGGUUAUCCUCCUUAUAGACCAUAAGAGGCUUAGCCAAUGAAGAAUGGGUGGGUUUUUCCACAUCCUAGGGCACAUGGACUCCCUUUAUUCCUCCAGUUCCCUGUUCUUGAAAAACAGCUUGGUUUCACUGGUUACUGGAUCACUGCAACAGCUCAGUUAGUUUGGGUGGUCUUCCAAAAAGUUGGUGUGUUCCUAAAAUCUUCACAAAAGAGACAAC